rnacentral:rRNA from 1 species
GCACAUGGAGUUCUUGGACAAUGGGCGCAAGCCUGAUCCAGCCAUGCCGCGUGAGUGAUGAAGGCCCUAGGGUUGUAAAACUCUUUCGUGGGGGACGAUAAUGACGGUACCCCAAGAAGAAGCUCCGGCUAACUUCGUGCCAGCAGCCGCGGUAAUACGUAGGGACCAAGCGUUGUUCGGAUUUACUGGGCGUAAAGGGCGCGUAGGCGGUGUGUCAAGUCAGUUGUGAAAUCUCCGAGCUUAACUCGGAACGGUCAACUGAUACUGUCACACUAGAGUACAGAAGGGGCAAUCGGAAUUCUUGGUGUAGCGGUGAAAUGCGUAGAUAUCAAGAGGAACACCUGAGGCGAAGGCGGUUGCUGGGCUGAUACUGACGCUGAGGCGCGAAAGCUAGGGUAGCAAACGGGAUUAGAUACCCUCGUAGUCCCUGAGCGGGCUGGCAAGGCGCAU